rnacentral:rRNA from 1 species
UACGUAGGGGGCAAGCGUUGUCCGGAUUUAUUGGGCGUAAAGCGCUCGCAGGUGGUUCGAUGCGUCGUGCGUGAAAGCCCCCGGCUCAACUGGGGAGUGUCGUGCGAUACGGUCGGACUGGAGGCCAGUAGGGGGAUGCGGAAUUCCGGGUGUAGUGGUGGAAUGCGUAGAGAUCCGGAGGAACACCAGCGGCGAAGGCGGCAUCCUGGCCUAAAACUGACGCUGAGAUACGAAAGUGUGGGGAGCGAACGGG